UACGAAGGGGGCUAGCGUUGCUCGGAAUCACUGGGCGUAAAGGGUGCGUAGGCGGGUCUUUAAGUCAGGGGUGAAAUCCUGGAGCUCAACUCCAGAACUGCCUUUGAUACUGAGGAUCUUGAGUCCGGGAGAGGUGAGUGGAACUGCGAGUGUAGAGGUGAAAUUCGUAGAUAUUCGCAAGAGCACCAGUGGCGAAGGCGGCUCACUGGCCCGGUACUGACGCUGAUGUGCGAAAGCGUGGGGAGCAAACAGG
rnacentral:rRNA from 1 species